GGGCAUGUAGCGCAGGGGUAGCGCGCUUCCUUCGCAUGUUCGAGAUAGGAAGAGGUCGUGGGUUCAAAUCCCAUCUUGUCCA
rnacentral:tRNA from 1 species